rnacentral:rRNA from 1 species
CCUACGGGGGGCAGCAGUGGCGAAUAUUGGACAAUGGGGGCAACCCUGAUCCAGCCAUGCCGCGUGUGUGAAGAAGGCCCUCGGGUUGUAAAGCACUUUCAGUGAGGAAGAACGCCUGGUGGUUAAUACCCAUCAGGAAAGACAUCACUCACAGAAGAAGCACCGGCUAACUCCGUGCCAGCAGCCGCGGUAAUACGGAGGGUGCGAGCGUUAAUCGGAAUUACUGGGCGUAAAGCGCGCGUAGGUGGCUUGAUAAGCCGGUUGUGAAAGCCCCGGGCUCAACCUGGGAACGGCAUCCGGAACUGUCAAGCUAGAGUGCAGGAGAGGAAGGUAGAAUUCCCGGUGUAGCGGUGAAAUGCGUAGAGAUCGGGAGGAAUACCAGUGGCGAAGGCGGCCUUCUGGACUGACACUGACACUGAGGUGCGAAAGCGUGGGUAGCAAACAGGAUUAGAUACCCCAGUAGUC